GACGAACGCUGGCGGCGUGCUUAACACAUGCAAGUCGAACGGAAAGGCCCUGCUUUUGUGGGGUUCUCGAGUGGCGAACGGGUGUGUAACACGUGAGUAACCUUCCCUUUACUUUGUGAUAACUUCAGGAAACUGGGGCUAAUACCGGAUAGGAGCUCCUGCUGCAUGGUGGGGUUUGGAAAGUUUCGGCGGUUGGGUAUAUACUCUCGGGUUAUCAGCUGGUUGGUGGGGUAGUGGCUUACCAAGGCUUUGACGGGUAGCCGGCAUGGGAGGGUGAACGGGCACAAGGGGACUAAGGUACGGACCAGACUGCAACGGGAGGCAAUAGGGGGAAAUAUUGCACAAUGGGCGGAAGCCUGAGAAAGAAACGCUGGGAGCGGGAAGAAGGCCUACGGGUUGUAAACGGCAUUAGGCUGAGACGAAGCGUGAGUGACGGUAAUGGGUAAAGAAGCACCGGCUAACUACGUG
rnacentral:rRNA from 1 species